rnacentral:tRNA from 1 species
GCCCUCGUAGUUUAAUGGAUAGAACGCGGGAUUGCGGAUCCCGCAAUCAAGGUUCGAUUCCUUGCGAGGGCACCA